rnacentral:lncRNA from 1 species
GAUAGUUCAAAGAUCGCCCGAGAGACAGAGGAGAGUGGAGCCUGUGCCUCAGAGAGCCCAAGACAGACCAAGAUACAACGACCGAACUCGUUAUGUGAGGCGUCGUGAAAAUAAUAGGUGAAAAGCGAUAACAGGUUUAUAUAAGAACCUAGUUGUAUGAAAUUUCGAUGAAUGCCUUAUCAAUAAAAUCCUUGUUUAGUGAAAUGGAUUUUUUUUUUAUAUUUUAUAUUGUUGGAUACUUAUUCCCGGGUUAUGGAUUGUCUUUGUGGUUUUAAUAGCGAAGAGGAGGCUAAAAAGAAGAUAUAUAAUGUGUCAUGUGAGAGGUACUUUGGAUUUGGAUGUGAGAUUGAUGAGGAGAGCUCAAACAAGCUUGAAGGAUUGCCUGGUGUUCUGUUUGUUCUUCCAGAUUCUUAUGUUGAUGCUGAGAAUAAGGACUAUGGAGCUGAGCUGUUCGUGAAUGGAGAGAGAGUUCAAAGAUCACCCGAGAGACAGAGGAGAGUGGAGCCUGUGCCUCAGAGAGCCCAAGACAGACCAAGAUACAACGACCGAACUCGUUAUGUGAGGCGUCGUGAAAAUAAUAGGUGAAAAGCGAUAACAGGUUUAUAUAAGAACCUAGUUGUAUGAAAUUUCGAUGAAUGCCUUAUCAUUAAUGGGUCUUAUGUUGAUAUUAUAUUGUCGCUGGAUUGUUAUGGACUUGUAGGACAAGAAUUCUCGAGUCAGUUCUCUACUCAUGGAAUCAUUAAUUUGUGGAUCUCAAACUU